UACGUAGGGGGCUAGCGUUAUCCGGAAUUACUGGGCGUAAAGGGUGCGUAGGUGGUUUCUUAAGUCAGAGGUGAAAGGCUACGGCUCAACCGUAGUAAGCCUUUGAAACUGGGAAACUUGAGUGCAGGAGAGGAGAGUGGAAUUCCUAGUGUAGCGGUGAAAUGCGUAGAUAUUGGGAAGAACACCGGUGGCGAAGGCGACUUGCUGGGCAGCAACUGACGCUGAGGCGCGAAAGCCAGGGGAGCAAACGGGAUUAGAUACCCCCGUAGUCCCUGAGCGGGCU
rnacentral:rRNA from 1 species